GAGUUUGAUCCUGGCUCAGGAUGAACGCUGGCGGCGUGCCUAAUACAUGCAAGUCGAGCGAACAGAUGAGAAGCUUGCUUCUCUGAUGUUAGCGGCGGACGGGUGAGUAACACGUGGGUAACCUACCUAUAAGACUGGGAUAACUCCGGGAAACCGGGGCUAAUACCUGAUAAUAUUUUGAACCGCAUGGUUCAAUAGUGAAAGGCGGCUUCGGCUGUCACUUAUAGAUGGACCCGCGCCGUAUUAGCUAGUUGGUAAGGUAAUGGCUUACCAAGGCGACGAUACGUAGCCGACCUGAGAGGGUGAUCGGCCACACUGGAACUGAGACACGGUCCAGACUCCUACGGGAGGCAGCAGUAGGGAAUCUUCCGCAAUGGGCGAAAGCCUGACGGAGCAACGCCGCGUGAGUGAUGAAGGUUUUCGGAUCGUAAAACUCUGUUGUUAGGGAAGAACAAAUUUGUUAGUAACUGAACAAGUCUUGUCGGUACCUAACCAGAAAGCCACGGCUAACUACGUGCCAGCAGCCGCGGUAAUACGUAGGUGGCAAGCGUUAUCCGGAAUUAUUGGGCGUAAAGCGCGCGUAGGCGGUUUCUUAAGUCUGAUGUGAAAGCCCACGGCUCACCCGGGAGGGUCAUUGGAAACUGGGGGAACUUGAGUGCAGAAAAGGAGAGUGGAAUUCAUGUGUAGCGGGAAAUGC
rnacentral:rRNA from 1 species